UACAGAGGGUGCGAGCGUUAAUCGGAAUUACUGGGCGUAAAGGGCGCGUAGGCGGUGAGGAGGGUGUGAUGUGAAAGCCCUGGGCUUAACCUGGGAAUUGCAUUCGAUACUGGAUAGCUAGAGUUCGGCAGAGGGAAGCGGAAUUUCCGGUGUAGCGGUGAAAUGCGUAGAUAUCGGAAGGAACAUCAGUGGCGAAAGCGGCUCCUGGACCAGAACUGACGAUCAGGCUCGAAAGCGUGGGGAGCAAACAGG
rnacentral:rRNA from 1 species